rnacentral:lncRNA from 1 species
UAGAGUUAAAAGGUGGGAUUUAGGAUUUAGAGUUUAGGGUUUAGGGUUUAGAGUUUAAGGGUGGGAUUUAGGUUUUAGGGUUUAGAGUUAAAGGGUGGGGUUUAGGAUUUAGGGUUUAGGGUUUAGGGUUUAGGGUUUAGAGUUUAGGUUUUAGGAUUUAGAGUUGAGGAUUGGGAUUUUGGGGAUAAAAUUUCAAAUUUUGAAAAAUAAAAAAAUUUUAAUUUUUCAAAAGAUAAAAUGCUAUUUUGGUCAUUUUAGUUUUUGAGUGCUAUUUUUGUAAUAUAAACUUAGAAAUGUGCUAUUUUGGAGAUUUGCCCAUUUAAAAACUACUUUUCUAAUAACAACCUUUAUAUUUUAUUGGAUACGUAUAGUAUAUUUAGUUUCACCGAUUAAUGAAAUUAGUUUUAAAAAGAGGACUUUUCAAAAAAAAAAUGAAAAGGUUUCUCAAGUAAAAUCGAAAACAUUUGAUCACUU